rnacentral:rRNA from 1 species
CCUACGGGAGGCAGCAGUGAGGAAUAUUGGUCAAUGGGCGAGAGCCUGAACCAGCCAAGUAGCGUGCAGGAUGACGGCCCUAUGGGUUGUAAACUGCUUUUAUAGGGGAAUAAAGUGAUCCACGUGUGGUUUUUGCAUGUACCCUAUGAAUAAGGACCGGCUAAUUCCGUGCCAGCAGCC